AGGAAGAGACGAAACCAGAAGGCCGACAGCAGAGCACAGAGCUGACAGACCACAAAGUUCACCUGCACACAGAGACACACACCUGGAGAUUAAUGCAAGCAGCUGAGAUCAUGUUUAAGAGUCCAGCAGAGGUCACUGAGUUCACAGCAGCAGAUUAACAGCGAAGAGAAGACGACCUUCGCUGUGAUGAAGACUCACUCUGCUGCUUUUCUGAGACCAGAACAGAAGGAUCCUCGUUAAAUCAACGUCCUCAUAGCAGUUUAUUACCACACAGUGUUUCUUCUUAUUAAACUCCAUUAAUCAUG